UACGUAGGGGGCAAGCGUUGUCCGGAAUCAUUGGGCGUAAAGAGCGUGUAGGCGGCCCGGUAAGUCCGCUGUGAAAGUCCAGGGCUCAACCCUGGAAUGCCGGUGGAAACUGUCGGGCUAGAGUCCGGAAGCGGCGAGUGGAAUUCCUGGUGUAGCGGUGAAAUGCGCAGAUAUCAGGAGGAACACCAAUGGCGAAGGCAGCUCGCUGGGACGGUACUGACGCUGAGACGCGAAAGCGUGGGGAGCAAACAGG
rnacentral:rRNA from 1 species